rnacentral:rRNA from 1 species
CCUACGGGUGGCUGCAGUCGAGAAUCUUCGGCAAUGGGCGAAAGCCUGACCGAGCGAUGCCGCGUGCGGGAUGAAGGCCCUCGGGUUGUAAACCGCUGUCGUAGAGGAGAAAGGUCUGAUGAAGAAUCAGAUUUGAUCUAUUCUAGGAGGAAGUCGGGGCUAAGUUCGUGCCAGCAGCCGCGGUAACACGAACCCGACGAACGUUAUUCGGAAUUAUUGGGCUUAAAGGGUGCGUAGGCGGUGCGGUAGGGAAAGCCCUCGGCUCAACCGAGGAAUUGCGCUUCAUACUGCCGUGCUGGAGGGAGACAGGGGUAAGCGGAACUGAUGGUGGAGCGGUGAAAUGCGUUGAUAUCAUCAGGAACACCGGUGGCGAAAGCGGCUUACUGGGUCUCUUCUGACGCUGAGGCACGAAAGCUAGGGUAGCGAACGGGAUUAGAUACCCCUGUAGUC